rnacentral:snoRNA from 1 species
GGCCUUCUGGUGCUUACCACACACUGCGUUCUUACACUGACUGUAUAGAAAGAAGAGGCAAGUAAAGUAAAAAUUA